GCGCAGCAGGCGAGAAAACUUUGCAAUGUGCGAAAGCACGACAAGGUUAAUCCGAGUGAUUUCUGCUAAAGAAAUCUUUUGCCAGUCAUAAAACCACUGGUGAAUAAGGGGUGGGCAAGUUCUGGUGUCAGCCGCCGCGGUAAAACCAGCACCUCAAGUGGUCAGGAUGAUUAUUGGGCCUAAAGCAUCCGUAGCCGGCUUUGUAAGUUUUCGGUUAAAUCCAUGUGCUCAACGCAUGGGCUGCCGAAAAUACUGCAUGGCUAGGGAGUGGGAGAGGUAGACGGUACUCAGUAGGAAGGGGUAAAAUCCUUUGAUCUAUUGAUGACCACCUGUGGCGAAGGCGGUCUACCAGAACACGUUCGACGGUGAGGGAUGAAAGCUGGGGGAGCAAACCGGAUUAGAUACCCGGGUAGUCCCAGCUGUAAACGAUGCAGACUCGAUGAUGCAUUGGCAUAAUAGCCAGUGCAGUGUCGCAGGGAAGCCGUUAAGUCUGCCGCCUGGGAAGUACGUACGCAAGUAUGAAACUUAAAGGAAUUGGCGGGGGAGCACCACAAGGGGUGA
rnacentral:rRNA from 1 species